CAGCAUCUGUGGAGGGAAAUAAACAGUCGACGUUUCGGGUCGAGACCCUUCAUCAGGACUGGAAAGGAAGAGGGCAGAAGCCAGGAUAAGAAGGUGGGGGGAGGGGGAGGAGCACAGGCUGGCAGGUGACAGUGAGUCCAGUCCAGACCUGUUAUGGAACAGAAGGAAGUCAUUGGCCUCAGCGAGUGUGCUGCCACAGAUCUGGCCUGGCAGAUGGUCAGCCUUGGUGAAGCAGCCAGCAUAAUCAAAGACCCCACCCACCCAGGACACACUCUCUUCUCCCAUUGGGCAGAAGAUACAGGAGCCUGAGGGCACAUACCACCAGGUUCAAGGACACUUCUAUCCCACGGUGAUAAGAAUAUUGAACGGUGCCCUUAUACGAUGAGAUGGAUUCUUGACCUCACAAUCUACCUUGUUUGACCUUGCACCUUAUUGUCUACCUACAAUGCACUUCUUCUAUAGCUGUGACACUUUAUUCUGUAUUCUGUUAUUGUUUUAUCCUGUACUACCUUAAUGCACUGUGUAAUGAAUUGAUCUGUACGAUCGGUAUGCAAGACAAGUUUUUCACUCUGCCUCGG